rnacentral:lncRNA from 1 species
CUGAGGAAGUUGAGUGCUUACUCACCUGCUCUCCUUUCCCUUUUCAGGAUAAAUCAGAGGCUGAGGAAGCUCGUUCUUGGCCCUAAGCUGUACCACCUUGGGAGACAGUCAAAUUACAUUCCUCACCUAUGCCAAUGGGUCCAAAUUUUUUUUCUUUCCCCAACAGAGUGCUGGAAAUUCUCCUCUGGAAACCUGUGCUUUCGUAAAUGCUGUCUCAUCCAUGAGUGGUUGUCCAAGUCAGUACUGUCUAGGGGCUCCUGGACUGCAGGUCAAGAGAAGCUGCAGCAGGUUCAUGAGCCACUGCAAGGUCCUUGGCUGGGACUGAAGUCUAUCUGCCUAGUACCUGGUGCACAGAAAAAAAAAAGCAUUUUAAAGAUCAAGGAGUUUUCUACACAUGAGGAUGGAAAUUGGAAGAGUCACAGUCUCCUGGGUGAUUCGGCAAAUGUGCAGGCUCUCUGAAGGAGGGGGUUGAAACCGAGCAAGGGAGAGCUGGGAGGGAGAAGCACGUUGAGCUGGCAUGUGCUGCUAUUGAACAGAUUUAAAGGUAUUUUAAUCAUAGACCUUUCGUGCUAUUUUAGAACUUCCUAGCAUAGCUCCUCCCUUCUGCUUCAGCUGCUGAGAAAUAAGCAAACGAACACAGUGUAUUUAAGGACCCUGCAUUUUUGAUCCCAAGUGCUACAACUUCACAAAACCAUGUGCCUAGAACAUGCCCCCAUGACCAGAGAGCUCCGUUUCUGAAAAGAAGGAGAAAGCCGUCUGUCUCCACGUUAAAUGAGCUUCAGAAGCCCGUGGCAAGUAGCUACCUGUGCAGGCUCAGCUCAUUGAUUUGGCACUGCCUUUAUUCUCCCAGAAUAUGCCUUUCUAUUCAUGCCAUCCUGGUUUCUAUUCUACCCAGUAAUUUGUGCAACAGGAAAGUAUCAAACGUGCCUGCUUAAGAGUCUUUAUUGACAUUUUGCAGAACAGAACAGAUUGGACCUAUUUUCUUCCUGCAAUCAGUUUCAAGUGUUUGAACCUUCCUAACAGCUCUGAAACAAUAUUUAUUCUUAAUCAGCAACGAUGUCAUGAGUCUUGACGCCCUGUAAUGUAUGUGACUGUGUAUUAAACCAUGUGGAGCUGCAGGCAUGAUGAGGCAGAUCGAGACCCCUCUGAGAGGGAGUUUUGGGAUCAUGGAAUGGGUCAGACUCUAUUCGAGGAAUAUAAUACUAUGGUUCAGGUGGAAGCCAAGGAUUUCCACUUCUAGGAAGGCUAGUCAAACUCAAAGGCAGAAGGAAUAUUCCUAGAAUUUUACCUAGUGACAGUGGGGAGGGUGGGGGCGGGAGGCUCAGAGUUAGGGCAGCAGAAGAGUUGUGGGAAGAUGACUAGGAAGUGGCCAUUUGUGUGGGGAUUCCAUAGGAUAUCAAGUAAAUUUCAACAACCUCUGCUUGUUUUUAUGUUAUUAUUAAGGAGCCACAGGAAAGGG